rnacentral:tRNA from 1 species
GGGGUUGUGGCUCAGUGAUAGAGUGCUUGCCUAGCAUGUAUGAGGCCCUGGGUUUGAUCCUCAGCACCACA